rnacentral:rRNA from 1 species
UCAUAUGUACAUGCCUAUAAAGUUAAUGCACCAGAUCCCAUUAGAACUCAGAAAUUAAUCAUGCUUGGUCUAGAGUAGUACUGGCAUGGAUGACCUCCUAGGAAUUCUUAUCAUUUUAC